AUUAAUUUCAAGGAAUGUAAGACCCUGAUAAGCGUAGCAGGGCUCACGAGAACAGGGGAAGCACCGCAAGAAUAGAGAAGGGCAGUAGUGAUUUUAACUGAUAUCUCACUCCGGAGGGUAACAAAGGCAGAGAGAGGACAGCUGCUGGUGUCCCAAAGCUGCUCUCACCCAUAUGCUUCUCGACUGUGUACUGCCAUGGUGCCUGCUGAAGUUAUCGCCGACUGGCUGGGGUGGUGUCUUACCACAGAGGAAGAAAUAAGGCUGCCAUCACUACAAACCUUUGGGAGAGGACUGCAGAAUAUCUCCAUGAAAGUUUCACUGCGAUCUCUCAGGAGGAUUCAGUAACUGCAGCCAACAUCUAAGUUGCUGAAACAUGAAAUUUCUUCCCUUGAAUAGACAACCUUGGAAUGUCUAACCCAAAAGAAAUCCCAUUAGUCAUACACAGAGUCUGUCUCUGGGAAAAUUGCUAGUGGAAGUGGGACAAAUAGGCCAGGUAAGAUGAGUAAUGUAUUUAUUCUGGAUUCAUAAGAGCUGAUCCACCUUUGAUUUCCAGUGGUGGUGGGGGUAGAUGGAUGUGAAAUGUGUGGUUAAGCAGGGAGAUCAGACUGCUCUCUCUUUGGGAGGAGU